rnacentral:lncRNA from 1 species
UUCCCUCUUGACGCCCAAUUCCCAUCAGUCUCUGACCCAGGAGCCUGGGGUGGGGAGCUGGGGUGGGGGCAACGGCAGACCCUUUCAGGGCCGGAGAGGCCCCCUGACUGGCAGGCACUGAUUUUUUAAUUUAAAAAGCAAAGUAAACAGCAAUAUAAAAGGGCCCAUAUAAGAACUCAGUGUGUAAGUGGGACCUGCCUCAGGCAAAUUUUUCUAAUUUUCCUGAAAACAAGCAUUUUUACCCUUUGGCCCAAAGCCAUUGCCUUUGCCAUUGGACUUGGCCCCUGCCCCACCCCCUCUCCUGAGCCACCCUUCUGUGUUUGAGAAGCUGCCCCUGGCAGAAAAGAGAAUGACCUCCUGCGUUUUAGUCAGACACUUCAUACGGGCUGGUGAAGGUUUUUUGAGGUUGCUCACGCUCCCAGCCAAGGAGUCUGUGGAAAUCCUUCAAAAAGUACAAGGCAGCCUUAUGAAUGGGGAGUGAGGAGCUUAAUGACAGACGCAAGGACCCUCAACUACAUCUGAAGGAGGAGAAAGAAUUAUGAUGACCGAAUCCUGUAGAAUUCUGCUGAGGUUUACUUUUACUUUAUGCGAGGGCUAAUUAAGCUGGAUUUAUAAAUAGGUUAUUUAUUUUUGUCUUGUAAAUAGAAUUAUAGAUUGAAUAGAGCCUCUACCUCGGCCAAGGGUCUUCAAACUCUUUUUUAAAGCAGGGGAACCUUCUGUUGAAUGGAGCUGUGUGCAGAACCACAGCAUAAAAAUGGAAGCAAAAGUUCUCUGGUCAGGUUGGAAAGGAAGGCCUGGGGUCCUGCUCAGGCCUGGAGGGCACCCAUUUCCAGCGGCCAUCUGUCCCCCUGCCCCAGUCCCUGAUGUGUUCUGUGGAACCUCAGGGUUCCAAGGGACAGAGUCUGAAAGACAUUGCUCUAAAUGAAUCUGUGCUGCAUGGAAUGUAUUUUCCAGUCGCUGCCUCCAGGAUUACUGAACAUGGAGGGGGCGCUGUGGUCUCAAAUCCCAGGUGCAUUAGCAUUUCCGUUUUCAUGUAGGUUGACACAGUGUUCCCUUGUACUAGAAAAUGCCAGUGGGUGUUAGCAAAGGCCCUUUACACGCAGAACAAUGAGCCCAGAGCGAGGCGCAAGCUUCAAAGCCGUCUCUUCACUGGAAAGGGUGACGCGGCGCAAGAUUUACCCCUGAACCUCUCUGGGAGUGUGAGCUUCAUGGGCCUCAGUAGGAGGAGACGGUGGAGAAGAAAAAGACUUUACCAGGCUGUCUGCAGACACCCUUGUCCUAGAGGCCCUGGAGUGGGACAGCUGGGUGGCUCCUCGGAAGACUCCACAACCCCUUG